GGUGGUGGCUUUUUUCCCGUCGCCGCCGCUGCUGUGUCUAUUGCUUGGUACCCCAAGGCUCUAAGUUCUUCUCAGUAAAAGUCUGUUGACCAGACCUGUGGUUGCCUGUACAACGACCUUGGAUCGGCCAACUCUGGCACAUCAAAUCCACAUCUCUCCCCGGAGCUACGCCGGUUCCAAGGCUGCAUCUCUGCACUGGACGAGUGA